rnacentral:rRNA from 1 species
AUCAACGCUGGCGGCGUGCCUCAGACAUGCAAGUCGAACGAUUAAAGCUCUCUUCGGAGAGUGUAUAGAGUGGCGCACGGGUGAGUAACACGUAAGUAAUCUACCUUCGAGUGGGGAAUAACGUCCGGAAACGGACGCUAAUACCGCAUAAUGCAGCGGCAUCGCAAGAUGACAGUUGUUAAAGAUUUAUCGCUUGAAGAGGAGCUUGCGGCAGAUUAGCUAGUUGGUAAGGUAAUGGCUUACCAAGGCUACGAUCUGUAACCGGUCUAAGAGGACGGUCGGUCACACUGACACUGAAUAACGGGUCAGACUCCUACGGGAGGCAGCAGUCGGGAAUUUUGGGCAAUGGGCGAAAGCCUGACCCAGCAACGCCGCGUGAAGGAUGAAGUAUUUCGGUAUGUAAAC